UAUAAUAACAAGGAGAGACACCUGCCGUUUCUUUUUUUUUUAACGAAACUUUAUUAAAUACGUCUAGAAACAAUUAAGUUCACCAUUACUUCUGCAAAGAGUGCACUGCUGUGUGACGUCUCCUGUUAUCUGCGCACGCGGGUCACUUUGCUGUCUUGAAUUGUUCAGACAGAAGUAUGAUGGUAGUCACAUUUAAUGAACGUCCACGUAAAAAAAAAAAAAAAAUCAGAUUUCAGCAAAAAAUCGGAAUUGAGCCCCAAGACCUGCAGUGUGAACGUAGCCAAAGAGACUCAUACUUUUUGUUAACUUAAACUGAACAAGAUCUUAAAUUAUUCACCUCUGUUUUCUGCCAUCCGUGGUGAAAGAGGAAGUGAAUUCUUCACACAAAGGAAUAUUUUAGGGUUCUAAGCCGUUUAUGAUCUGGAGCCCAACUAACCAUCACAACAUCUGUGGAUCAGUAACAGACUAAUUAAAAAACUUUUAUUCUGCUGCUGUAGGCGUGUGGUUUAUGCUUCAUUGAGCCACUACUCUCAGGCUUUAUUUGCUAAAUAUCUGCAGAUGUUACAAACAUCCCCUUACUUUGAAGGUAUUAUUAUUCUGUUCACAGUGCAAACACUGUGAAAUUACCACAAGUUUAUGGCUGAAACACCAGGAUUUAAGCCCAAACACAUUUUGCCUCAGAAGCGAUGGCCCACAGAAGUCUGUGUUGUAGAAAUCCCUUCUGCUUUAUGGUUUUCUGGGCGUUUACAUAAGCGUAGUGGCUGUGGAAGAAUCAUUGGUUAUAGUUUCAUUGCUAAAAAUCAGUAUUAAGUCCUGGUGAAGGAGGCCCUAACCCACGCUUUGCCUCAAAGCAAGAGCUUGGCUGAUUCUGCUACAGUGGGAGGGGUUUGAGGUCCUGUGGGAGGGGCUACAUGUGCAGUGGGAGGGGUUACUACCCAGAGUCAUUGUUGUGGACCUCACAAGAAAAAAAAAAGUUCCAGAUAAAAGGUUCUAGGUCUUAUAGUUGAAACCUUAAAAUCCUUAAAGUUCUUCAUGAAGUUGUUUUUUUUUUAUCUGACAUAAAGUUGACUAGUCACAACUUUAUUUUGAAAGAAUUAAGGGCAACAUUUUUAAUUUGUGUUGUUGAAGGAAUAAAACAACCCCAAUUAAACCAAAAUGUAAAUGACUACACUCCAUCUUUAGUAUUAAUAUUAUAAAGGACAUUUGAAAACCAUUCUGUGGAAUUUCUAAAGUGCUAGUUUAUUUUAUAACUAUACAUAAUUUAUUUAUUUUGUCUAUUCACCAGAUUUGGAUCUUAAUAAGCAGAGAUUUAGUAGAAUACAUAAUGUGGUAUGUAUUGCUAUACAUUGCGACUUUAAUUGAAAACUAAUACAGUAUGUUGGUUCAUUUCAUGAUAACUGGGGUAAAGAUCAAGGUCAUUUUUAAAGACUGCAUGAGUUAUUUUUUACAAAUGUAAAAUUUGCUUAAACUUUAACUCCAAACCCACUGUUUAAAGUAAGGGUUGUUCAAUAAGAAAUUAGAAAAUAGGUUAUCACAGAUUUAUAAUUUCUUUUUUUUAUUUAUGUAACAUAAACUUUUCUUAAGUUUAUGUCACUUCAUCUAACUACAGUCUUAUAUGUAAAUAAAAAAGUUUGGGUAGUUUCUAAAUUCCCGGAUUUGGGUGGAUGUAGCAGUGAUGGGGACAGGAACGAGGGGGUUGCUGUACAGUCAGUCUUCCUUUCUCCCAGCUGACACAUUCAAAUGAAAACGCGUUAGUUGCUGCAGGAGCAGCUAUAGUACAGAACUCCCCUGAGGGCUGAGCUUGUGGCAGAGGCACAGUAAAGUGCAAAUGUUCUACAAGCUAAUGUGUCAGAAAACGAAGGGGCUUGUUUUUCGGGGAAAUGUGAACAGUGAUAUCUUUGGAGCGUGCGACAGGUUUGAUCAGAUCAUAAGGUGCUGUCUUUAAGCGUUAAAUUUUCAUUUUACUUUUUAUUCCAACAGUUUUGUCAUUUUUAGUAUGUUUUCAGUUGGUCCUAAACAGCUUUGUACAUUUGGGAAUCUGUUCUGUGUUAUGGACUGUCUUUUUGUUCCGCCUUUUCUGUAGUGACACACACAUGAUGAAACUAACAUUUGAUAUUGUAAUGUGCCUUGGGGCUGAGUGAGUUCUAAUAAAUUCAAUUGGUGUAAACUUUUCA